rnacentral:rRNA from 1 species
UACGGAGGAGGCAAGCGUUAUCCGGAAUUACUGGGCGUAAAGCGCACGUAGGCGGACAUUUAAGUCAGGGGUGAAAUCCCGGAGCUCAACUCCGGAACUGCCUUUGAUACUGGGUGUCUUGAGUGUGGAAGAGGUGAGUGGAAUUCCGAGUGUAGAGGUGAAAUUCGUAGAUAUUCGGAGGAACACCAGUGGCGAAGGCGGCUCACUGGUCCAUUACUGACGCUGAGGUGCGAAAGCGUGGGGAGCAAACAGG